AUUGGGUCUGUGGUUGCAAGUCGAUGCCAGUCGCAGGCGAAACGACCCACGUAAGCCGGGAAAAGCCCGGUGAUCAUGGUGCGAUCUAGAAGUAAGUCCGGCCAGCGGUUGCUGAGAGGGUUAGUAGUGGGAAGCAAAUGGCUCAUGAGCGAACGCUCCAGCCGGCGGUUGUGGGGGCAAAGACCAGGUCAGCCAA
rnacentral:ncRNA from 2 species